AAAGUCGUAACAAGGUUUCCGUAGGUGAACCUGCGGAAGGAUCAUUAAAAUGGGAUUACUAGCCAUGGAUUAGGAUCGAGGGUGGGGCGUGGGAUUUGGAUCGAGGGUUAGGGUGACGGUGGCAUUGGGCGACGGAGUAAGCCGAGUGCUUCACUGCUAAAGCAUUGAAGCACUGGGUUAACACACAAUGUCUGAUACACACAACUAUCAAGUACAACUUUUAACAAUGGAUCUCUAGGCUCUU
rnacentral:misc_RNA from 1 species